rnacentral:rRNA from 1 species
UACGUAUGGUGCAAGCGUUAUCCGGAUUUACUGGGUGUAAAGGGAGCGCAGGCGGCACGGCAAGCCUGAUGUGAAAGCCUUCGGCUUAACCGGAGUAGUGCAUUGGAAACUGGGAGACUUGAGUGCAGAAGAGGAGAGUGGAACUCCAUGUGUAGCGGUGAAAUGCGUAGAUAUAUGGAAGAACACCAGUGGCGAAAGCGGCUCUCUGGUCUGUAACUGACGCUGAGGUUCGAAAGCGUGGGUAGCAAACAGG